AUGUCUUCACCGCCUCCAAGCCCGUCUCUUCCGCUGCCGGUCACCUCGUCGCCUCCGGCGACCACCACGAUCGUCGCCCUGCUCCUGCCCGCGCCGGGAUCCUCCGUCGCGCCCGCCCCCGCCGUCCUCACCCCGGAGGAGGUGUCCGGGGUCCUGCGGGACCUAAACCAGGCAGUCCAGGAGAUCCGCCUGUUCUUGGGCAGGUCCUACGGGACGCACCCGGUUGCGCCGCCCAUCACCGCCCCCGCGCCGCCGUGGCUGCCGCCGCACCAGGCGGCCUUUGCCGUGCUUGCCGGGCUGCUGCAGCUGCCAUCCAUCGCCACCACCGCUCAGCCCUGGCUGCGGUGGCAGCCGCCGCUCCUGGCGGCUUCCGCCGCGCCCGGCGCAACACCGCAGCAGCUGCAGCAGCCAUCGCCGGUCAGCUCCACCGCCCAGUGUGGGAUGCCCUACGACAGGACUGCGACGACCUCAUUCCCAUCAGUGCCGCCGCCAUCCCAGCGCGUCCACAUCCAGCAGAUCAAGUCCCCGCCGUUGCCGUCACCGCUUCCGUCUUGGAUCGCUACCCGUCACGUGUCGGCGGCGGUGAGGCUGCAGGCUGCUGCGCACGGCCUCCUAGUGCGUUGGCGUGUGCGGGAGAUGCGUGGUCUGCAGCUGCCGCUCCUCCAGGUUGCCCUUCGCUGCGCAAAGGACUUCGAUCCUGUCCGCGGUGUCGGGGAUCUUGGGCAUGCGGUUUCCCCCACGGGCGGCGGGCAUGCUGUUUUCCCCGCGGGCAGUGACCUCAAAGUCUGCGACAUCGACGGUUGA
rnacentral:rRNA from 1 species